ACAGAAACCUGGCAUGCAGGCCAAAGGGUAAAGACCUUCACAAUCGGGAACCCGUAGAUUGGAUCUUCUGAAAACAUCAGAGAAAGACUAUCUUUGCCAUCCACACUACAGUAAAACUUUGGAGCCUUGAACCUUGGAUUUAUAAUCUCACAACUGAGAAGGGUCCCUCCAUACUCCUGGAACUGUACACCCAUUGGAACUCUUAAGGAUGAUAUACAUGGCCAGGUGAAGACAGUAGAGAGAAAACAGAACUGAAACCAGAGAGCCCUCUACAGAAGGAUGUAAUGGAUAAUUAUUGGUAUACAGUGAGGUUCAUAACCAAAAACAAAAGUUCUCUCCAUGAGACCUGGAAUCUGUAAACUGUCUUCUGGCUAAGGAAUCUGAAACUUAGGAUAAACAACUUGCCUAAUUUCUUAUGAUGGAGAUGUAAUAGUGGUUGGAAUUUGGACCUAUUCCUUCUGAUUCUGGAGCUCACCAGUUAACCACUCUGCUAAACUGCCUCCCCAAGAGGUAAAAAAUAUCUAGUGCUUUCAAGUCCAAAUCACUUUCCAAUAGCAAUAGUUGAUAAUAUCAUGAGCUGCCCAUGCUUCCAGAUGGGGGUAGAUGCUAGUUUGGAGGGAAAGGCUGUGCCAUGGGACAGAAGACUCAAUGAGGAGGGUGAGUAUUACCACAAGCUGGGACCCAUUUGUAAUGGUAUUUAUAGAAGUCUAGGAGCACAGUAUUCAAUUAGCAAAAGCAAACUCCCUAGGUAUUAUAACCCCCUUUUUUUCCUCCCCACUUAUCUUUAUGAGAUUUUGCCUGAGAGAUAGAAUCUAAAAGGAUAAAAAUAGGCUCUUUAAACUUCAGGGAGGAAGCAGUGAUGUUUUCAAUAGACUAUGUUUCCAUCUCCACCCACUCCAAACAAGUUAAGUAUUGUAUGACAUGAAGUCUAGGAAAAGCCUGGCACUCUAUAAAAAAUACUGGGAAAAUUCUGUCCAGCAUGGAAUAUCAGCAGCUUAUUGUACAGCAUAAAGUACUAACUCAGCAUUGACCUGCUCCCAAAAAGGGCAAAAUGAGAAGAAAAGAGCAGUGGAUGAUUGGAAAGAGGGCUCAGAUAUCAGCCCUUUACCUGUUGAAAGGGAUGUGCUAUAGCAAUUUUGCUGGCUUGGCCUGGGGACAUGUGAAAUGGUGGAGGAUGAUUUAGAUGUCUCAGUAUCAACUUUGAUAUCUCUUUACUUCAGGGAAUCACAAGUUCAAAUUCCAGGAGAGUUGGAUCAGCCUUUCCUCUCUGGCAGCCAGGCAAAGCGAGGGUCAUGCGAUCUACUCAGCACUUUGGGAUGUGACUUCAAAACCAAAGAACAAGGUGCACAUUUUGAGAAACGUGUACUCCUUGUUUAUGUGGCUGCUUCUUUAACAGAGUGAGGGAUAUGUACUUACUGGACACAGUUUUGGUUAGCCCAGCAUCACGUUUUUUUCUGGAAACCUCACCCCACUUUUUAUGUGGUUGUAGGAAUUCCCCCACCCCCUGCCAGUACAACGGCUCUUCUUUGGCUCUAGUGGAUUGGAACAGGGCAGGCCCCUCCCAAGAGCCAGUGACCAAGUAUGGUGGGGACAUUGAGGCAGACCUAUUUCUGAGAAACACAGAAAUUUGUUGGGCAACUGUAUUGCCCAACUUUGGCUCAAAAACUCCAUGAUGACUUUGCUGAACUUUCCUUAGACCAUAGACCCACCAAAAAUGUUUCCAACCAAUCUACUCUCUCUCUCUCCUUCCCUUGGGGUUAGGCUUGCCUUGCAAUCUGAUGGCUUUGCCUAUCCUCCCCUAUUUCUGUUCACACAUUAAUUCCCCCUAAUAAAACCCCUGCUCAUUUAACACCUUCUCAUCUUCUGUUUCUUGGAGGACCUCAUCUUAUGCAUCUGGUUUAAAUCCUAGCUCUCCCACACAGUAGUCGUGUGACCUUUGAUAAUCACUACAUUGUGCUGUCCUCAAUUUCCUCUUCUGUAAAAUGAAAGUGUGGGGUAAGAGCACCUACAUCACAGUGGUGUUAUAAUUGGAUGUAAUAACCCUCAGUCAUUUACCUGGCAUGCGGUAUAGUUGUAUGCAGGAGAGUCUACUGUUUAGAAAAACCUUGAACCUAAUUGUUAGCACCAUCAGUCUGUUCUGGCUUGUGUGCUGUAAGAGCCCUCUCUGGGUCUACAUUUGCUCAAGCAUUGAUGUUCUGUAGAGUAAAUUCUGCAUGUUUGUCUCUCCACUAAAACAUAAGUUCCUUGAGAGCAGGUAGCAUAUUUCCUUCACUUCUAUAUCCUCUCCAGAUCCAAGCAAAGUGUUUGAGCAAAGUGGCAAACCAGGAAAUGCUCAUUUAAUGGAUGCGAAUUUCCUGCAGGAAUGAUGGAAUGGAGUUCAGGUCAACAGCAAAUAUUGCAUGGCUGCUUACUUUCUUCCUGUGGUAUUCUCUACAAGGACAAAUAGCACAGAACCCCCUGCCAUCUCAUACAAGUGACAGAUUGUAUAUGCGUUGGCAAGCUUGGGCUUGAAGUUUUUGGUGACACAAGACUGGCUUCUACUUCAGGAGACCAACUUCUUUUUCACAUAGCUCCAAUUUUCAGAGGUAAGUAAAAUAAUGUUAACUAAAACUUGAAUAAUGCUUACUAAGUGCUAGAUACCAUUUUAAGUGCUGUAAUAUGUGUCUCUGAAUAUACACCUCCCACUCCUUGCACAGACACACACAUGCACACACUACACUCACACACAUACACACACACAAUCUCAAUAAACCCUCACAACAACUGAAUAAGGUAGAUUCAGUUGUUGCCCCUAUUUAACAGAUGAGGAAACUGAGGCACACAUAAGUUACAUGAUCUGCCCAAAGCCACAAUGCAAGUAAGAGCCAAGAUUUGAACCCAGGUAGUCUGAAUCUACAUUUUGUACUCUUAAUGACUGUAUUUUACUAUUUAUUUAUUAUUUAAUUUUUUUUUGAGACAGAGUCUCACUCUGUCACCCAAG
rnacentral:lncRNA from 1 species